ACCUCUAUGGCUCAGUCAGUAGAGCAUGUGACUCUUGAUCUCAGGAUCAUGAGUUCAAGUCCUAUGCUGGGUG
rnacentral:tRNA from 1 species